rnacentral:rRNA from 1 species
AAGACCUUGCGCUUUUGGAGCGGCCGAUGCCUGAUUAGCUUGUUGGUAAGGUAAAAGCUUACCAAGGCUUCGAUCAGUAGCUGGUCUGAGAGGACGGCCAGCCACACUGGGACUGAGACACGGCCCAGACUCCUACGGGAGGCAGCAGUGGGGAAUUUUGGACAAUGGGGGCAACCCUGAUCCAGCCAUGCCGCGUGAGUGAAGAAGGCCUUCGGGUUGUAAAGCUCUUUCAGCCGGAACGAAACGGUUACGGAUAAUACCCGUGACUACUGACGGUACCGGAAGAAGAAGCACCGGCUAACUACGUGCCAGCAGCCGCGGUAAUACGUAGGGUGCAAGCGUUAAUCGGAAUUACUGGGCGUAAAGCGUGCGCAGGUGGUUUUGUAAGUCAGAUGUGAAAGCCCCGGGCUCAACCUGGGAACU